rnacentral:rRNA from 1 species
GGGUCAGUAGGUUGGUCGUGCCACCGGUACGUACUGGUCUCACUGAUUCCUCCUUCCUGAAGAACCGUAAUGCCAUUAAUUUGGUGUUGCGGGGAAACAGGACUGUUACUUUGAAAAAAUUAGAGUGUAUAAAGCAAGCUAACGCUUGAAUACAUUAGCACGGAAUAAUGAAAUAGGACGAUCGAUCCUAUUUUGUUGGUUUCUAGGAUUGACGUA